AACGAACGCUGGCGGCAGGCCUAACACAUGCAAGUCGAGCGCCCCUUCGGGGGAGCGGCGGACGGGUGAGUAACGCGUGGGAACGUACCCUUUGCUACGGAAUAGCCUCGGGAAACUGGGAGUAAUACCGUAUGUGCCCUUCGGGGGAAAGAUUUAUCGGCAAAGGAUCGGCCCGCGUUGGAUUAGGUAGUUGGUGGGGUAAUGGCCUACCAAGCCGACGAUCCAUAGCUGGUUUGAGAGGAUGAUCAGCCACACUGGGACUGAGACACGGCCCAGACUCCUACGGGAGGCAGCAGUGGGGAAUCUUAGACAAUGGGCGCAAGCCUGAUCUAGCCAUGCCGCGUGAGCGAUGAAGGCCUUAGGGUUGUAAAGCUCUUUCAGGGGGGAAGAUAAUGACUGUACCCCCCAGAAGAAGCCCCGGCUAACUCCGUG
rnacentral:rRNA from 1 species